UGGUAUUCACAAAUGAAUAAAAGAAUACAUCUAAUCAUAAAUAAAUACACUUAUUCAAACAUGAGUACACUGCUAUUUACAAAAGAAUACAUUGUUAUUAACAAAUGAAUACCCUGCUAUUCACGAAUGAAUACCUCUCACGCAUUUCAUCAAACAGCCCAAUCGUCCCAGAUACAAAGCCAAUGAUCCCGAUGUCAAAUACACCCUCCACAACCAAAGAUAAUCCUUAUACAAAGCUGGAAGUAACACAAACCCAAUGAUGCCCCUCUUGCUCAUUGGUAAUUACUCUUUUCCCUUUUUACCCUUCCUUUUGUAUGUGUAAUGUAACAUUGGCAUAGCAUAAACUUUCCCACGCAACCUGUAGAAUGGAUCACUUGAAGAUACAAAAACAAUCAAUGAUGAACUCUAGAGUAUCUACCACACUUUCCCAGCCACCCUGUCAAGAAUGUGUUUUGUUUUUACUCUUCAAAUUGCUCAUGUGAUUCCGAAAUCAAAAUCCACCAAGAAAAAAGUAUAAUCAACUAACCUUAAUAUGUCGUUUCCUGUUAAAAGGGAAAACCACUUCUUUUCCUUCUUUUCCUUCUUCGUGAACUGUCAAAGACACCACCGGAGAUGGAGUUUUCUUCCAGUGAAUAAUAGAGGCAACACCCUCCCAUUUUCCUUCUUAUUUUUCCUGUAAAAAAAAAUCAAACAAACACCCUUUUGAUCGAUUUUUCUGCCUGUUUCAUCAUCCUUCGUGUUAGCUGCCAAAUAACAAAGAAGAGGGUGCAAGGAGAUUACCAGAGACCCUUUCCCUUCCUUCCCGUCGACCCUCGCUGCCAAACCACCCUCACCAAAGCUGUUAUCGUUGAUCGUUUCCCCCAUCGCACCUCACACUUUCUACGGUCGAGCAAUACCCACCAAAACCCUACCUGCGACCCUGUCACUGCUUAUCGGACAUCUUCUGGCCUCACCCCUCGCUCUCCCUUUUCUUCCUAUCGACCAACGACCUAUGAAGAUAUUGUCUUCAUCGCUGCUUCUUCCUAUCUUCUUUCCCUUCGGCCUCGUCGACCCCCGUAGACGAUCUCUUCUCGUGAAUCGAUCGACGAAAAAUCGUGCCGCCUGCGAGCCUUCGUGCUUCCUUCUCGCCGUCUUCCUUCGUUCAUUUCCCUUUCCUUGAUUGAUUAGGGUUUAAAGGAAAAGAAGUGGUUUUCCCUUUUCUUUGACAGUUUACAAAGAAGUGG
rnacentral:lncRNA from 1 species